rnacentral:rRNA from 1 species
UAGUUGGUGGAGUGAUUUGUCUGGUUAAUUCCGUUAACGAACGAGACCCCCGCCUGCUAAAUAGUGGGGCUUACGUUUCUACGUAGGCAGCUCGCUUCUUAGAGGGACUUUCGGUGACUAACCGAAGGAAGUUGGGGGCAAUAACAGGU